rnacentral:lncRNA from 1 species
AAGAAACAGACCAACCCAAUACAUAAUGCAACAACCGACCAACCAGGUCAACAGAUAUAAGAUAAAAGCACCGAUCAACUAGGUCACCGAAACGAAGUACGAGAACCGACCAAUCAGGUCACCGAAACGAAGUACGAGAACCGACCAAUCAGGUCACCGAAACAAAGUACAAGAACCGACCAAUCAGGUCACCGGGAUCACAUAUGGAUAAACUACUCUACUCCUACACAUGAUACUAAGCAUAGAAACAUAUGAGUAGAGUAUAAUAGAAACAAC